CUCGUAGGCGGUUUGUCGCGUCUGCUGUGAAAACCUGAGGCUCAACCUCGGGCUUGCAGUGGGUACGGGCAGACUAGAGUGCGGUAGGGGUGACUGGAAUUCCUGGUGUAGCGGUGGAAUGCGCAGAUAUCAGGAGGAACACCGAUGGCGAAGGCAGGUCACUGGGCCGCAACUGACGCUGAGGAGCGAAAGCAUGGGGAGCGAACA
rnacentral:rRNA from 1 species